rnacentral:lncRNA from 1 species
AGAGCACUCUUCUGUCUGUAGAGGUCUCAGGUGCUCUACAAGGGAGUCCCAUUUCAGGUGUGGGGCUGGGUAUGGUCACUCCUGCUGGAUGUCUAGAAGGUGAAAACCAAGGACCUAGGAAAAUACCAGAUACAGCCUUUCCACCGUCAUCCAGAGCAGGACAAACACGCCAGGUGGUGUCAGGAGCCCAGGUCUCCAGCUGGAGGGAAUGUCAACCCUGCAGUGGGAGCCCAUCAUGCAUCCUAGGCACAGAUGCUAACGUAGGCACCGCAGGUAAGCUGGGUUUGGUACCCCUUCCUGGCUUCAGAAAGAAGCCAAACAAGGAGCUUUCUGCAGAAUGAAACCUCUUUUCCAUCCAGAAGCACUGCUGACUGUUUGGUGGUUGCUGUUAGGGCAGUGAGCCUUUUGUCCAUUCUGAGAUUAGGCUGGUUUCUCCUCUUGGCCCUGGCCUACAGACCAUAAAGGAAAACAGCAAGAGGUCCCCAGCAAACAUCUACAGAUGGCCCUGGACAUCAGCCACAUUCAGAGAAACGUGUCAUGUUCUGGGAGGGCUAAGGCAUCGAGUAAGGCCUAUGGGGCUGGAGGAUCACAGGGCAGGUGGGGCAAUCCAGAGCUGUGGGGGCUUCCAUGGGAAUUGGGAGGUCCCAAGGCAGAGGUAGGGGUUCCACAGGAGGAGUCACAGAGCCACCAAGGGCUCUCCUGGCCCAGGGAGCAGUCAACACCAUGGACUGAACACCCACUGGGCUAAGCCCUGGGCCAGGCUGGGGCAUGUGGGGCCAGGAGGCAGCUCAGAGUGGGAGACAGAGACAAGUGUGCUCAGAGGGCACCCAUAUCUGCAUAUAACGUGGUCCUGAAUUUCUGGCUGGGAAGUGCUUCCAGGGUUUCAUAUGUGUUAUGGAGAUGCUUCCUCUCUCCAACCUCACCGUGCAGGAAUCCCAGUGAAUAUAUUGCCACCAUCUUGGAGCUCAGUGCCCUCAUAGUGUAACAGCACCAGCAGAUCUGCCUGUGCACAGACUUCCUGUACUACCUCACUCCUGAGGGGAGAUGCUUCUGCAGGGCCUGCGACCUGGUGCACAACUUUAGACACCAUCAUCCUGGAGCGGCACUGCACCCUCACUAGCCAGGGUGUUGAUGACUUCCUCAAUGCCAAGGCCACGUUCAAGAUUUUCGACUUCAGUGAUGCGUUUGUGCUGAGCAAGGUGGGCUUCUCCGGGAUCUUAAUUCAGGAGGUAGAAUGCAGCUUGAGAUCUAGUGUCUGAUCAAAGAACUUGAACUUGACCUGGAGGGCUCUGGGGAGCCAUGGAAGGUGCUGGAUAAAGGAAGGGACAGUCAUAUAUAUUUUAGAGAUGACUGUGGAAGGCUGCCUGGAAGGAGUGAACAAGAGCCAGGAGACCAGGGAGGGAGUUUGUGGGGCAGGUCUGCAGAUGGCAAGGGAGGGAUCCUGCUUGGAUGAAAGGUCUUCAGGGACUGUCUCAGGUUACACUCAGGUGCCCUCAGAGCUACUGUGUUCAGGGUUCUUGUCUCCAGGAUGAAAAUAAGGAGGAGUUGUCAGACAAGGACAUAUACAUGGAGGCUGGCAUCUUCAUGAGUGCCAAUCGUGGUCCUGGUGUGGACUACUGUGGGAGCAGGGGUCUCUCCAUCCAGGGACAUGGUGGAUGGACCCUACAUCACUCCAUUCUGCCCUUCCUUUCCCUCCCAUUCUCCUGAGGGACUCAAUGCAUGGGCACUGUCCAACCUCUGGUGCUGAAGCAGCCAAGAGACCCAAGCCUGCCUUGCUGCCACUUAGGAUAUGACAGCACAGCCAGUGGCCUCUACUGGAUCCUGGUACCCCUCAGAAGACACCCAGACACUGGGAGUGCUGCCACCUCGUGGUGCAAGAGUUCUGAGGGACGGCAAUUCUGAAGACAUUGAAUGGUGGGUGCUGGGCCUCAUGGCUGUUCCCCAGCCCCUCUCAUUGGCUCUGCUCCAGGUGGAGAAGGGGGAUGAUGUCUCUGUCAGUUCUGCUGUUUUAGCCUAGAAGGAAAAGAAGCAGAGCCCAGAAGCAGGGCCUGGUACCCAGCCUGCCUAACAAGGGAGAAUUUGUAGGCUUUGUGGACAGAAAGAUCUGGGACUCCAUGUCACCCACUAACUUGCUGAGACAUUAGUAAAAUCAGUUUUCUUUUCUGAACUAUGUUUCUGUCAUCUGUACAUUGAGAGGAAUUUCUUUUACUCCACGAGGCUGCUUGGAGAAUUAGUGACAGUGUGUGUAGAGCAUGUGCCACCCAGCAGGCAUUUGGUGUCGAGACCACACCUCCUCCCCCUUCAUUUUCAGCCUAAAUUUGCAUUUUGUUCUUAAGACUUUCACUCGCCUUAAUUUUACUCUUUCCUCUGAUUCCCACCUUAUCGUCUAUCCCAUGGAGUCACUAGGAUCUAAGUGGGUAACAGUCAUGUAUGCAUGUAUGUGUAUGUACGUAUAUACUUUGUUGGUGUUGGAGUGUGGUGUGUGAAUGUGUGUGUGUGUGUGUGUGUUGGAGUUACUGGGUGACUGAAACUGUACACAUCAGGCUGUGGUUCUGCCCAUUGCUGGAAGCGCUGUCAGGGGUCCUGCCCUCAACCCCAGGUCUGACCCUUGCAGCGCAGGCAGGACAUUCUGGAGGAAUCAUGCCCUUGGGAGGAUCCCUGAGGAGUGACUGGUGGGUAUUGGUGGAUAAAUACCCCUGGUCCCUUGCUCUGGGUAUGAUGACUCUGAAGCACAUGUUCUGUGCUGUCUCUCAGAGGUACCUGGCAGGGCUGAGUCCUGGCUGCCACAGUGGAAACUUUCUUGAUGAAGGUCCCUUUAACUGCUGCAUUCCUUUCCUGUCUCAGUUCCCCACUCCUCCACUGAUGUUUCCUGGGAUUAGCACCCUAAGGAAGAACUGGCAGUCGAAUUAAUAUCCUAGCGUUAUCUCCAAACAAAAUUUUUGUAUUUGAAUCUUUGCCUCAGGAUCUACUUCCAGGAAAUUCAGACUAAGACACACAUUUUUCUUUUGGCUCCUUGAAUCCCCAUAGGCCUGACAUUUUGCUGUUUUUAUCAAAAAGGAACAUGAGGAUCAGAGAGGGAAAGUCACUUGCCCAAAGUCACCCAGCUGAACAGUGGUAGAGUUCAACUUUGAUCAUGAGAUGUCUGGCCCCCAGGUGGAGGCUUGCUCCUCUCCCAUGAGACUCCUUCCUUAUCAGGGUCAAAUGAAUGAAUGGAGGAUGUUAAAAGUGGGGUCUCUGAUGCCUUUGCCAGAUAAACCCCAGGCUCAUGGCUGGCGCCUGUUUUCUCAUUCUUACCUCAUUAAGAGUAGUAAUGAAAAACAUGCUCAGUGCUGACCGUGUGCCUGGGGGUGUUGUAGGCACUCCACUUACUUUAAUUCAUUUAAUUUUCACAAUAACCUUGUUUUUACUUCUAGUUGUUAUAUGAAAAAACUGAGGCAAAGAGCAAUACAGAGAGUUGCAAAAAUUCAUACCGCUGGUCCAGGUUUGAACCAAACAGUCUGCACCUGGAGUCCUUGUUUGUAACCAUGGCACCCUGUCUUCACACAUAUCUCAUCGUGGAGUUCCAUCUUGUGUUAGGCAUGGCACUGAGCAGCUUCUUUUAAGAACAUAAUUUGUAGCCAGGCGCAGUGGCUUAUGCCUGUAAUCCCAGCACUUUGGGAGGCCGAGGCGGGCAGAUCACGAGGUCAGGAGAUCCAGACCAUCCUGGCUAACUUGGUGAAACCCCGUCUCUAAUAAAAACACAAAAAAUUAGCUGGGCAUGAUGAUUGGCGCCUAUAGUCCCAGCUACUUGGGAGGCUGAGGCAGGAGACUGGCAUGAACCCGGGAGGUGGAACUUGCAGUGAGCCGAGAUGGCGCGACUGCACUCCAGCCUGGGCGAGAGAGCAAGACUCCAUCUAAAAAAAAAGAAAAAAACAUGAUUUGUAAUUAUGUAAAUUACUAAUUCUACUUCAAAGUGCCACACAGCCUUCAUGUGAUAAAAUGAAGCAAUUGGUAAGUCUAAGCAUUGAGAAAAAACAUUAUUUUUCCCAGCUCCAUUGCAACAGUUGGGACAGUGUUUUCUCUGUGCCUAUAGAAACCUCAGCUAGUGUGCCGAGGAGUCUGGUCCCUUUGGGGAAUGUGGCAGUCAGGUUCUGGCAGGGACCUCGAAGUGGCUGGUAAUGUCUUUCAUUACCACCACCACGUGACCUGGUCUUACGACCUGUUAGCUUCCUUCAUCAGGCAUGAGCACCAGGAUGGCAGGGGCCUCAUCUGUCCUGUUCCUCCUGUGGCCUGGGUCCUAGCACCAUGUCUGGUACAGUGUAGGUGCUCAAGGGAAGUUUACUUUAUAGAACUGUCUACCUGGGAGAUGUUGCUGUUAGUCUAACCUGUACCAUUUUGUAAACCUGCAGCCGUUUUGCACACCCUGGUCAGAAUGAAACAUUCCUUGGGAACUCGGGCCGUGAGAAGCAUCCUUCCUGAUCACCUGACUGUAGAAACAUCCUUAUCGCACCCUCCCGGGCAAAGGCCCAACAGCCUGACUGCAGGAACAUCCUUGCCAUAUCCUGCCGGGCAGCAAGCUCUACCGCCCACACCCCUCCUUCCCAGUCCCAUGAUCACCCCAGCCUGUGAGAGGCAGUUGGUGCUGGCAGUAAGCUGGUUUCCUCCUCUGCAGGGUUUUGCUAGUAAUAAAGGUGUUGCUGUUGAAGCCGUCAA